AUUCCAGUUGAUCCUGCUGGAGGUCACUGCUAUUGGGAUUCGAAUGAGACAUGCAAGUUCAUCUGCCGGGUAACGGUAGAUUGCGUACGGCUGAGGCAACACAUAGAUAACGUAACGUUAGGAAGAGGAUAUCCUCGGGAAACUGAGGUUAAUACUCUAUAGCAAUAAUAUCUGAAACGAUUUUAUUGUUAAAGCUUAUUUCUAAUACCGAGAUAAUGUGCCUAACGAUCGGUCUAUGCCUGAUUAGACUGUUGGUGAGGUAACGGCCCACCAAAUCUAAGAUCAGUAGGGGCCAUGAGAGUGGUUUCCCCCAGAAGGGUACUGAGACAAGUACCCUAGCACUACGGUGUGCAGCAGUCCCGAAAC
rnacentral:ncRNA from 1 species